rnacentral:rRNA from 1 species
ACUCAAAGGAAUAGACGGGGGCCCGCACAAGCGGUGGAGUAUGUGGUUUAAUUCGACGCAACGCGCAGAACCUUACCCAGGCUUGACAUCCCCGAAACCUGGCCGAAAAGCCGGGGUGCUCGCAAGAGAAUCGGGUGACAGGUGCUGCAUGGCUGUCGUCAGCUCGUGUCGUGAGAUGUUGGGUUAAGUCCCGCAACGAGCGCAACCCUCGUCUUUAGUUGCCAUCAUUGAGUUGGGCACUCUAGAGAGACUGCCGGUGUUAAACCGGAGGAAGGUGGGGAUGACGUCAAGUCCUCAUGGCCCUUACGUCUGGGGCUACACACGUACUACAAUGGCCGUUACAAUCCGUUGCGAGACCGCGAGGUGGAGCCAAUCGGAAAAAAACGGCCUCAGUUCAGAUUGCAGUCUGCAACUCGACUGCAUGAAGGUGGAAUCGCUAGUAAUCGCAGAUCAGCAAGCUGCGGUGAAUACGUUCCCGGGCCUUGUACACACCGCCCGU